rnacentral:rRNA from 1 species
ACUCCAUUGAGGCUUCGGCUUCUUUGUUGACGGAAAUCAUUUUAAUCGCAAUGGCUUGAACCGGGCAAAAGUCGUAACAAGGUACCUGUAGGUGAACCUGCAGGUGGAUCAUCGCUGA